GAAGUAUCUCCAAAACUUGCUCGUAGAACUGAACGAUGAAGAAGGAUAAACCAAAGAAGGCUGUUCUUCAUGAUGUGACCGCUGUAGCUCGUGAUCUCCUACGAGGAGUUCAGAUGUAUAAAUAAUGUACUGAAUGCUGUCAAAAAAAUAUUCGUUUUCUCGAUCUUGUAAGUUUAGAUUAACCGACCCCUGAAAAUGUUCAUUAGCAUAUUACAAUAACUCAAACUAUAAAAUCAGACUAACCAUUAUGCAAGGCCAUAGAUAAAUUGCCAAAAAAGAGAUAAACCGAUGCCAUAUAGCAAAAGCGUGCAUGGAAAUAUACACUUUGUAUCGAGUCCUCAGAGAUGAAUACAACCCUAGUGUAUUGUGUCAGACAAGAAAGAAAGUCGAAAAGAACAGGAAAGCUUUUGUCUUACCAUCGCGAGAUAGUUGAGUAUCUACGUUCAUAUCAAACCGUUCAGCCAAACAUGGAAAGGCUUUGCUUGCGACACCCUGAUAGACAGGAAUUUUUUAUACAGAUGUAAUGACAAACAAUAUGCUUUAAGCAGCA